AACAAAAGAUAAAAGUGUGCUUUGUGUAAACGUGGAUUCAUUAAUUUUCUUAAAACUGUGUCAUUAGAUGCGCAAACACAAAUGUUAUGAAUUUCGUUUUGGGGUCAAUGGAGUUGGCGCUGGUUGCCGUUACUGGCGUUUUGCGACGUCUUGCUAUCAGUUUGGAAGAAAAGCUCUGGAUUCUAGGGAAUCCUCCGAGGUAACCUUGCAGUCAACAUACAUGUGAGGAGUUUUCGAUUCGUUAAAAUUUGUGCAUAUCUUCGUUGUGUUUUUUGCAUGCAAAUCAACCUGCAGACAGGUCGGCCAGUUUGUCCCGACACGAUGUCCUUCUCACUUGAAGGUCACGAGAAACAUUACGUAAAACUGGCAUGCGGUAGUGUAGAGGUUGGGUGAGAAUGACACGUGUUUCAUCAUUAUCAAAGAAGUCGUACAUAAGGGCAAGGAUAAGUCGACAGGGAUUAGUCGAGUGAGCAUCUCCGACACGGUAACAGCAACUGCAGUGCACCAUGUGUCACCAACUGCAUUCUUCGUCGAAUUGCUAGUUUAAAUCAUGGCAAACUAUGGCCUCAUGCUGCGGUUUUGUGUUGCAGCGUUGAUGGCUGGGUCGGCCACUGGUGUAUCGAUGUUUCCUGGGUAUGGCGGAUAACAAAUUGCAACGCCGCCACCUUACUACACAACAUACGACACGACCAGUUGCUACACCGAGGCCCCCAAGUACUGAACCAAGGCUCCAGAUUAUUAUACCACAACUUAUGCUGCCCCGAACUACUUACACCGAAUCCCCGCAGUAUUAUUCUUCCCCUAGCUACACUACAAAAGGGUCGAGUACUACGUCGAGGCUCCCAAGUACUACAUCGCCACGGCACCGGAGUACAAAAACGGUCGAACACUACACAGAAGCAAUCAUGGUAACUAUGGCGUUGUGCUACUGUGAGUGUUGUAACGUUGAUGGCUGGAUCAACCACUGGUGUGCCGAUUUCUCCUGGGUAUGGCGGGCAUGAAUAAUCCGUAGCAACCGGUUAUUGCACUGGGCCCCCAAAUACUACACCACCAAGGGUCCGGAGUAUUACACCACAACUUGUACUGCCCCGAUGUUACUACGCAGAAGUUCCGAAGUAUUUUUCUUCCCCGAGUUUCACUACCUUCACCACGCCGAUUACUAAACAACAACGUCAACAACUACUUACCAUACGAAGGUCUCCAGUACUACGCCACAAUGGCUCCUGACUACUACACCGAGUAUCUAACUUAUCACACCACUGAAGCGCCCAAGUACUGCACUACAACCUACGUUGAUCCAGGUUAAACCACGAAGGCAGCGGAGUACUACACC